AGCAGAGGGAGCACUCUUCUAAGCUCAGGGGUUAGACUGCUGCUGACUGGCAAGCAGUCAAGUGCUGAGGCAUAGAUAUGUGAGCACCUUGGCGCUGCAUUCAAUGGCUUUAGUGCCACAUCAUACACGGCUAGGAAAUGGAUGAAAAGCAAACUCACAAAGAAGUCAGGCCAGUUGAUCCUCUACACGAACAGGGCGCUGACUGCAUGACAAAAAGGUCCUGCUAAAAUGGAGCUUUAAACCCCAACACACAUUUGAUCCCACGCAGGAAGUUGGGUAUGUUGCUGGGAGCAGACACCUGCAAGGGUAGACAGACUCCAGGAGAGCUGAGUCUGAUUAUCUGGCGACAGGGAGGGCCCGGGGAGGAGAGGCGAGCAGGAGCAGCAAGAGGAGGCGGCGGAGGAGAGGGGUGCUAUGUUCCCAACUGUUGCAUCCCAACCUUAAACUGGAACCGCCCAGAGAAAAGGAAAUGCAACAAACCACCCCUGCAACCCCUGCGACAGCGCGAGCAAGCGCGCUCGCGAACAAGGAGCCGCUUCUGGUGAAUCCUUUCAAAGUAAAAGACACUUUAAUGGCAAACCCGUGACAGCGUAAAAGUUAUAAUGGAUGAAUCAGUGAAUUAAAAAAAACUGUAUGAAGAUUCAAUUUUAUGCAGCCUAAAUCUGGUAUAUGUAUUGCAUAUGUAACAUUUUUAUUUUUUUAACUUUCAACUUUUUGAUGCAACUCACGCUGCAUGUGUGUAUUUUACAUAAAUUAAUAUUCUGUAAAUUGGGGGGGAACAUAAGGUGGAGGGCAAAGACUCCAACCGGCCCCCUGGAAGACUUUGGAAAAUGUGAUAGAUUUUGAACUGCUAGCUGAUUGUCGUGGGUUUUGCAGCUUUUCUUAUCGAUAAAGACUCCACCUUAUUUGCCAUUGAUAUCAUAUUAACGUAGUUAUGUAAUAGAUCAACAAUUGAAUAACAGAAAAGCUCCUGUUUUUCUACUAGCUACUACAGAAAUUUCAGUUUUUUAUUAUGAUGGGUCCACAUUAAAAACAAUCUGUUAAAUAUGUGAAUUAACAAAAACAUUGUUUUUAUAAAUACAGGACUGUCUGUAUUUAUCAUGUAAAGAAACUGAGAUGUACUGUUACUGGACUUCUUUUAUUACAUUAUGACAUCUCAGGGAUAAAAUGUUUAGGUAAAUGUCUUUACACUGACUGAAACGGCAAUUUAAGAUCAAAGUAGGCCCACAAUAUAAAGUGAGUCUGAAAUCCCAGCUACAGUUCAACCAGCUUCAUUUCUAUAAAAUUCCAGAUGCAGCCAAAAUAUAUUGUCAUGCAACACAUGUCAUGUGAAUUAAUAUAUACAAAUGGGAGGAACUAGGUGUUUGUAUGGUUUCACCUCACUUGUCCCUUCAGUGCAAAACAAGUCAUUGAGUAAUGACCCACCUAUAUCGUUUUAAAGAAAUUUUAAAUCCCAGAUUAUAGUUUGUCUCUAAAUGGUUUUCAUUUCAUUAAAUUAAACAAAUCCAUCUGGGGGAAAAGGAAAAGUCUCAUUCCUCUAGAAAUUUCGAUCCAGUUACCAAAGUCUUAACCUUCACACUGCAAACAGCACACCUGGAUGAGGGGACUGAAUGCCCAUAUUUCUAUAUAGACUUCCCCACUUUAUAGAAGGGGAGAAAAUACUUAGUGGGAAAUGAAGGCAAAUUAUUUUCAUUCAGGAUUUCAUGUGUUUUACACAGCACCACUCAAGUCAAAUGUUUGUGCCCAAACACUGAACUUUUUAUUGUGAAGGAGUAACACCUCUGACUUCCCUUUUCUUGGUUUUACCAGUGCUUUGCUUCACAUUUAAUUUGGGGCCAUGUUUGACUCCCCCUAUCUUAAAUUGCUGCAAGUCACACCUAUUUAAAAAAAAAAAAAAAAAAA